GCGCCCGUAGCUCAGUUGGAUAGAGUACUGCCCUCCGAAGGCAGGGGUCGGACGUCGAAGGCAGGGGUCGGACGUUCGAAUCGUCUCGGGCGUG
rnacentral:tRNA from 1 species